rnacentral:rRNA from 1 species
GACGAACGCUGGCGGCGUGCCUAAUACAUGCAAGUAGAACGCACAGUUUAUACCGUAGCUUGCUACACCAUAGACUGUGAGUUGCGAACGGGUGAGUAACGCGUAGGUAACCUGCCUGGUAGCGGGGGAUAACUAUUGGAAACGAUAGCUAAUACCGCAUAAUAUUGAUUAUUGCAUGAUAAUUGAUUGAAAGAUGCUAUUGCAUCACUACCAGAUGGACCUGCGUUGUAUUAGCUAGUAGGUGAGGUAACGGCUCACUUAGGCGACGAUACAUAGCCGACCUGAGAGGGUGAUCGGCCACACUGGGACUGAGACACGGCCCAGACUCCUACGGGAGGCAGCAGUAGGGAAUCUUCGGCAAUGGACGAAAGUCUGACCGAGCAACGCCGCGUGAGUGAAGAAGGUUUUCGGAUCGUAAAGCUCUGUUGUAAGAGAAGAACGGGUGUGAGAGUGGAAAGUUCACACUGUGACGGUAUCUUACCAGAAAGGGACGGCUAACUACGUG